CAUGCCGGAUUUCCCAAGCGGUCAAAGGGAGCUGACUGUAAAUCAGCCGUCAACGACUUCAGUGGUUCGAAUCCACUAUCCG
rnacentral:tRNA from 1 species